GCUUGUUCCCGGGCCGGGAGACCAGAGACCCGAGACCCGGCUUGAGCCAGGAACAAGCCAUGCUGAUAGGAAGAAAGACCGCAACUCCUCAGGCAGCUGGACCCCAUCUUGAGAGGAUACACCUGUGACCUGAGGCUUCCUGCCAAAACUACUAGUCUGGGGGAGGAAGUGGUUCUGGAGCUGCUGGGGCUGUGGACGUUCCUCAGCAAGGCUCGGGAUUUUGCAAGCAGUCUCUAAUGCUUCCCAAUCCUUAGUGACAACACUAUUAAUGCUUCUAAUUACAAAAUGAUACAUGCCUAUUAUAAAAUAUGAAAAAUUAUGAAACAGAAGUAAGUGUAACUGGUUUAAUGGUGGAGUGUCAACUCAGUGGGGUAUAUAAGAUCAUGAAAUUGUUCUUUUUUCCCCCCAGGCUCUGCCUUCAUCCAUGUUCUGUUGAAUCCCCAUGAAUGAAUGAAUGAAUGAGUGAGUACUGAGUGGGAAAGAGACACUGAGGGAGGGCUUUAGGAAAGAGGAAGGCUUUCCCUCACCAGUUCCCUGAGGAAGAAUACAAACUAGAUAAAAGAUUACAACUGGUGAAAAUAUUUCCAAUCCAU